AACAAACGCUGGCGGCAUGCCUAACACAUGCAAGUCGAACGAAGCCUUCGGGCUUAGUGGCGCACGGGUGCGUAACGCGUGGGAAUCUGCCCUUUGGUUCGGAAUAACAGUUGGAAACGACUGCUAAUACCGGAUGAUGACGAAAGUCCAAAGAUUUAUCGCCAGAGGAUGAGCCCGCGUAGGAUUAGCUAGUUGGUGUGGUAAAGGCGCACCAAGGCGACGAUCCUUAGCUGGUCUUAGAGGAUGAUCAGCCACACUGGGACUGCGACACGGCCCAGACUCCUACGGGAGGCAGCAGUGGGGAAUAUUGGACAAUGGGCGAAAGCCUGAUCCAGCAAUGCCGCGUGAGUGAUGAAGGCCCUAGGGUUGUAAAGCUCUUUUACCCGGGAUGAUGAUGACAGUACCGGGAGAAUAGGCCCCGGCUAACUCCGUGCCAGCCGCCGCGGUAA
rnacentral:rRNA from 1 species